rnacentral:rRNA from 1 species
CGGUAAUUCCUGCUCCAAUAGCGUAUACUAAAGUUGUUGCAGUUAAAAAGCUCGUAGUUGGAUUUCUGCGGGGACGGAGCGGCCGGACGCAACUUGCGUCUCGAGCUAGCGCUUUCCCCGCAUCCUGCCGCGAACCGUGCUACCAUUAGUUUGGUGGCGCUGGGGAUCGGCUCGAUUACUUUGAGAAAAAUAGAGUGUUCAAAGCAGGCCACACGCCUUGAAUAAGUUAGCAUGGAAUAAUGACUAAGGACUUCGGUUCUAUUUUGUUGGUAUUCGGGACUGAAGUAAUGAUUGAUAGGGACAGUUGGGGCGGUCUGUAUUCCAAAGCGAGGGGUGAAAUUCUUAGACCUUCAGAAGACAAACAGCUGCGAAAGCGUUCCGCAAGGAUGUUCCCUCUGAUCAAGAACGAAAGUUGGGAGAUCGAAGACGAUCAGAUACCGUCGUAGUCUCAACUAUAAACUAUACCAGCUAGGGAUCGGCCAACGUUUAAUUAUUCGACUUGGUCGGCACCUUAUGAGAAAUCAAAGCAUCUGGGUUCCGGGGGGAGUAUGGUCGCAAGGCUGAAACUUAAAGGAAUUGACGGAAGGGCACCACCAGCCGUGGAGCCUGUGGCUUAAUUUGACUCAACACGGGAAAACUUACCAGGUCCAGACAUAGGAAGGAUUGACAGAUUGAUAGCUCUUUCUUGAUUCUGUGGGUGGUGGUGCAUGGCCGUUUUUAGUUGGUGGAGUGAUUUGUCUGCUUAAUUGCGUUAACGAACGAGACCCCAGCCUGCUAAAUAGCGCGGCCGAGCUUUGCUCGGUGCGAGCUUCUUAGAGGGACCAUGAUGCGCGAUAGCACAAGGAAGUUUGGGGCAACAACAGGUCUGUGAUGCCCUUAGAUGUUCUGGGCCGCACACGGGCUACACUGGCGCCUGCAACGAGCAUAUCAGCUGGCCCGAGAGGGUCUUGGCUAAUCUUUUGAACCGGCGCCGUGCUUGGGAUUGACCUUUGCAAUUGUUGGUCAUGCAACGAGGAAUGCCUUGUAAACGCGAGUCAUCAGCUCGCAUUGAAUACGUCCCUGCCCUUUGUACACACCGCCCGUCGCUCCUACCGAUGAAUGUUCCGAUGAAAUUUUCGGAGAGCGCCAGAGAACGGGGCUCUGCCUUGCAGAUCUGGAGGCUCAAAGUCACUUAAAUCUGAACAUUUCGAGGAAGGAGAAGUCGUAACAAGGUAACC